rnacentral:sRNA from 1 species
ACCAACAGGGAUUGCCUCAGUAACGGCGAGUGAAGCGGCAACAGCUCAAAUUUGAAAUCUGGCCGCAAGGUCCGAGUUGUAAUUUGUAGAGGAUGCUUUUGGCGAGGUGACUUCCGAGUUCCCUGGAACGGGACGCCAUAGAGGGUGAGAGCCCCGUACGGUCGUGCCACCGAGCCUCUGUAAAGCUCCUUCGACGAGUCGAGUAGUUUGGGAAUGCUGCUCUAAAUGGGAGGUGUACGUCUUCUAAAGCUAAAUACCGGCCAGAGACCGAUAGCGCACAAGUAGAGUGAUCGAAAGAUGAAAAGCACUUUGAAAAGAGGGUUAAAAAGUACGUGAAAUUGUUGAAAGGGAAGCAUUCAUGACCAGACUUGGGCUUGGUUGAACAUCCGGCGUUCUCGCCGGUGCACUCUGCCAGCUCAGGCCAGCAUCAGUUUGCCCCGGGGGACAAAGGCGGCGGGAAUGUGGCUCCCUACGGGGAGUGUUAUAGCCCGUCGUGUAAUGCCCUGGGGUGGACUGAGGUUCGCGCUUGCGGCACGG